rnacentral:rRNA from 1 species
AACGAACGCUGGCGGCAGGCCUAAUACAUGCAAGUCGAACGCACCUUCGGGUGAGUGGCGCACGGGUGAGUAACACGUGGGAAUGUACCCUUUGGUUCGGAAUAACGUUUGGAAACGAACGCUAAUACCGGAUGAGCCCUCUGGGGGAAAGAUUUAUCGCCAAAGGAGCAGCCCGCGUCUGAUUAGCUAGUUGGUGGGGUAAAGGCCUACCAAGGCGACGAUCAGUAGCUGGUCUGAGAGGAUGAUCAGCCACACUGGGACUGAGACACGGCCCAGACUCCUACGGGAGGCAGCAGUGGGGAAUAUUGGACAAUGGGCGCAAGCCUGAUCCAGCCAUGCCGCGUGAGUGAUGAAGGCCUUCGGGUUGUAAAGCUCUUUCGCACGCGACGAUGAUGACGGUAGCGUGAGAAGAAGCCCCGGCUAACUUCGUGCCAGCAGCCGCCGUAA